rnacentral:lncRNA from 1 species
AAUUUCUGCAACUAAACAAGACCUAAUUAUAGGAACACACAAAAAGUAAAACAGUGGAACUGGAUCUCACCUUUACAUGGAUACCGUCAUAACCUUCUAUCGCAACUAAACGAUACCUUAACCUCUUUUGGUUGGAAUGUCAUUUACAAGCAGCGGAAGAUACUUUUUUUGGGUCAAUUUUGGCUACAAACAAAAUAAAAAGUGAGGAUUUGAUUACUGUGAUGAAUGUAUUUUCAGCCCACACAGGACCCGGCGUUGGUCUCGUUAUUCUAGUGGGCCAUACAAAAAACAACGCAGGAUCCAUUGCCCUCGUUCUACUAGGGGCCGUAAUAUAAAACAAGUGCUCAGUACUGUGUCGCUGUGAAAACGUGUCUCCUGCCGCCCUGGACACACGUUGGUCGGGAAGGAUCAGAGUUGGAACCCGCCUAGCCUCAAAACGUCGAUGGCCUGAUCCGUGAACCGAAGCGUGGCAAUCAAUUACACCUGUAAUAGAUAAGUAAGAGAGAGUUAAUCAAUAACAGUUCUAAAUAUAUAGCUCUCUGAGAGCCGAUAAGGAUGGAGUUCGACUAAAGAGUCGAUUCCAGCAUGCAUGCAAAGAUAGCAGUUGAAGCUUACAAUAUUACUAGAACAUCAUGCGCCCUUCGGGCGCCCUAUUAUGACUUUAAAACAAAUGUCCACAUUCGAUAAACAUAUGGCUUUACAUCUAAGCAAAACAUAGAUAUAUAAGCUCUGUUGUAUCCAGUCUAAAAGCAUAGGAAAAAAAAAUUCUUUCCUAGAAUCAAUACUUUGCAAACCCAAAUACUCCAAGUUACAUAUUAAGAUCAAGUACAUCUUACACCAACUUAGCCAUGUUAAUAAACUAAUGGCUAAUUAAAUAAUCACCUUGUGUUUGUACUAAAAAAUUUGUAAAGGAAGCUACUUUGUAUAGUACUCUUCAUAUUUUGACAGCUGCUUAGUUUGGUUGCAAAGAGAAACACAGCAUAAACAUUGGGUAUAAUUGUUUCUAAUAUUAACACCAAAAUCAUGCAUUAGGGAUCACAUAUCAGACUAUUAUAAGAAUAAUAUCAUAUUCCUAAAAUAACUUUGUGCUUGAAUCCUCAUCAAGUCAGUGAGUUACUAAUCUGAUAAUAACAGCCACCACCACCGUCUAAGAAAUGCAUAAACAACUUCUGUAGACCAAUUCAUACCCCUAUAGGUCAGUCACAUUAACCAGCUCGCAGCCACAUCUUCGAAAAUGCAAUACACAGUAGGAAAAAUAUUCUUCCGAGUGUCCAUGAAUGUUAUUUCGACAUGCUAGAAGUAAUGUCUUUGAGAAACCAGGAACGUCAUACACCAGAAUAUAAGCUUCGAAGAAUGUUGCCAACAUUUGCUCUUCAAGUGGAGAGAAUGCUCAGGUUGCCUAUGCAUCCUGGAAAUAAAAUUUCAAGUGAGUUUAUUUGAAGAGUAGACAUCUAUAUCUAUCUACAUAUCCUUUUUGUGCUAAUAUUAUUUAACAGAAACACCACAAAGAUAAAAACAUACACCUUCCAUUUUCUCACUUGUUAUCACAGUCCACAAAUAUGUCCAUGUAAAGGAAAACAACUUUGUAUUCUAGGUGGUAGUAGGAAACUGCCAGGCAAAAAAUAGUACCCCUGCAGAAAAAGGAACUCAAAAUCCGACUUUUUCUUUGUUGGCAAUGCAAAAGUGGUUCAGAAUAAUAUCGCUAUGUGAAUGCAUUCUCUAAUUAAUAAAUCAUUUACUUUUGUUUACCUGAAACAUCUUCCACACAUUCUUCUUCUCAAGGAUAACCCAUGUGUCUAGCAAAUGCUGAAAAAAAAACAGAAAAUUACCCAAGUGAUUUCACCUUAUCACGGGACCCCCUAUCAUAAAAAACAUCAAUACACCAUUUAAACACAUUCCGUCUAGCAUAGUCUAACUGUGUUACUGCAUAUACAUUGUGCCUGAAGGAAUAAAUAUUUAGGCCCCCUUUGGAACACAGGAUAGGAAAAGUAUAGGGAUAUGUUCUCCUAAUCCUGUUGGAUUCAAUAGUACUGGAAAAUAGAUAGGAAGCUCUUUGGUAGCACCACAGGAAAAGCAAACGAAUUUUACACACCAGUUGGAAUUUGAAUAGCUAGCAGUUGCAUUUCGAAAAGGCACAUAGAUAGCAUAUCUCCAAAUUUGCUCAGUCACAAAUGGCAUACAACAACAUAUAUCUGUAUAUGCAUCCAAUCUGAUGAACAAUGUAGCAGAAAAAAAAGAACUUAACAGAAAACAGAGCUGCUGAUAGCAGGGGCAUGUCAGUAGUGUGUAUAGACGAAGUGCACCUCCCAUCAUAGUCUCAUUCAUAGGUCAACACAAAUCUUCCCAAAUCGAAAUAAGAAUAUCCAUUCUCAGAUUAGGGGGGAAGAAAAUGCCUAAGAUAGACAUGAAGCUUACAGAUCUUGGAAGCUAGAGUGGCUGUGGCACACUGCAACCUCGUGGGUUUUGAUUUGGGAUCUUGGUUCAUGAGGAUUGGGGAGGGUGGUGUAACACCCUAAAAUUUGUCUUUUUGAAAUAAAGCUAAAUUAAUUCAAUUUUUUGUAUGGUUGUGC